AGUUAUAAAGUCACAAUUCUGAGUUAUAAAGUCACAAUUUUGAGAUAUAAAGUCACAAUUCUGAGAUAUAAAGUCACAAUUCUGACUUUAUAUCAUAGAAUUCUGACUUUUUUGCCACUAGAUGGCAGCACCUGACCACAGAACCUGAACCAUGCAACGUGAUGAAUCUGUUACCGCGCUCUUUCUGCACACUUUCACCAUCAACAGACCUGUGAACAUCUCACGUCAACAAGAAUGGAAGACCUUCUUUGUUUUCUGAGGGAGAGGAAUAUCCCAGAGUCUACUAUACAGAGAAUGCAGGAGGACAAGAUUGAUCCAAGCGUCCUUCUGCUAAUGAAUGAUGACCAGAUGAAAAGCUAUUUGCCUUCCUAUGGAGACAGGCUGGCAGUGAUGGGAUAUUGUAGGAGGCAAGAAAGCGAACCCACUACUAGGAAGUCCAAGCUGUUCGAUCGCCUAAAAUCAAAAUUAAACAAAAGACAAAAAACAAAUAAUUCCGAAACAGAUCAGCAAACAACAAGAAAGAGGAAUGUUCCACCAACAAGAAAAGUGGAGAUUGGGUGGAUGCUCCACAACGGGGAAGGCUUUGUUCAAAUGAGAACCAAAAAAGGAGGUGGAACAAGGAAGUUGACUGUGCCAAGAGACUGGAAAAAACGAGAACUGACUGAGGAGGCAAUUCGUUUAUUUUUCCCAAAUGGAAAAAAUUCUCACGGCAGCAUUUCUGAAUUUGAAGUGGAUCUAAUGAAUUAUCAGGAAAUGUCAUUAGAUGACAACAGUACAGUAGGGGAAAUGUAUGAUGCAUC